rnacentral:rRNA from 1 species
CCCUUAGAUGUUCUGGGCCGCACGCGCGCUACACUGAUGAAUGCAACGAGCUCUACCCUUGACCGAAAGGCCCGGGUAAACUUGUGAAACUUCAUCGUGAUGGGGAUAGAUUAUUGCAAUUAUUAAUCUUCAACGAGGAAUUCCUAGUAAGCGCGAGUCAUCAGCUCGCGUUGAUUACGUCCCUGCCCUUUGUACACACCGCCCGUCGCUCCUACCGAUUGAAUGGUCCGGUGAAAUCUCGGGACGGCGGCUUGGUCGCUUGCGUCCGACUGCUGAAACUUGAUUAAACCAUAUCAUUUAGAGGAAGGUGAAGUCGUAACA